rnacentral:rRNA from 1 species
GCGUAUAACAUAGCAUUAAUGCACCAGAUCCCAUUAUAACUCCGCAGUUAAACGCGCUUGGACUAUAGUAGUAUUGGGAUGGGUGACCCCCGGGUAAUCCUAGUGUUUCACUCC